rnacentral:piRNA from 1 species
CUCAAGUGGCUGAAGGAGAGAAUGU